UUCCGAGGUCGAAAGCGGCGGGGGCUGUAUCGAGCGGAGUUGCUAGUGGUAUGGUGAAUCAUACAUCGGUAAAUUGAAGAGGGCUGAAUCAUCCCGUAACGGAGAAGUCAGUGCGUAGUAUCUAGUUCGGGACGAGAGCAUCACCAGCGACUCGAAGUUUGAUACAGUCUCUCCGUUUGAGAUGACAAUGGAAUGGAGGGCAGAGAUGGCCGGGGCCAAUGGCGGCUGGAGGAUGCGGAAGCGGAAGACCUGAGGCCAUUUGGCAGCUCUCUGCCAAUCGGCGGUUUGGUUUGUAGAUCGUAUCAAAACCAAAAUCUUUUCUUUGCACCAAACAUUAUAGAUUCCCUUUACAAUAUUUUGGAUCAAAUUGAUUAGGAGCAAUGAAGAUGAUUUCCAAAGGUUAUCGGAUUCUAAUUCACAGUUAGGAGUUUGAUUUUAAAUAUUCAAAUUGUUUCUUUGGAAUAGAGAAAUUUAUGACAAACCCUAGUGAACUAUGAAAGAAACGAUUUAAUCAUGCGCGUGUUGAAGAUAUUUCAUUUAGAUGGAAUUUAGUUCUACAAAAAAUUACUGUAAUCAUAGGUAUAGAAUCUGUUCAUAUUGAAUUUUUUCUGUACACAUAACGAUAUAUUUUAUUGAUUAUUGAUGGAGAUUCAAAGACUUGGAUGAAAGUAUCCAAAGACAAAAAAAAUAAAGAUAUUUACAAAAAACUACAUUAUUUUGAUUUGGUCACGAUAUUCUCUAUAUGUUGUGCUAUUAAUUCCGUAAAUCCUUUUCAGUAUGCCAAUUCGCCCCUGAAAAUUCUGUUGCAAGCUAACGAUCGAAACAAAGAUCAUUUGGGCUGUCAGCGUGUCUCGCCGAACUUAGAAAGAGAGGCAAGCGAACGAGCCUUUGGCGGCAAGUGGCGGGCUGUGCUGUAAAACAAAAAACGGAAAGUGGAAGUCUGUGUUUUUAGACAGCCACAACGCAGCCUGGCUGAUAUUACAUGUCAAAUAUGGCACGCCGACACUCACUCUCUCCUCAGAAAAGAGGCCUCAUCUCGCAAUAUGUCAUCUUUUGUUCAGGCAGAGAACUAGGCAAAAGUUCCAGCGGUGAGCUGUCAUUUUUUACCCCCUCCCCACUCCGGAAAUAUGAUAUUUUCUCAGGUCUGGCUGGGAACAAGGACAGAAACAGAAGUUGAAUAGGGUUCAUUUACUACUCACGGGUUCAUCCCAUACAGCAUUGCACACCGCCGAUCACCCUGCUGCGCCAAACAUAGAAAAACCUCGUCAUGCCGCAGUUGUUAAGGAAUAUGCUGGUUCCAAUACCUUACUAGGAUAGAAAAAGUGCCAGGUAUGGGAGUGUAUACCAACGCUAAGUGUAUCUCCUAUAUUUAUUAACCAGUCUUGUAGAUUGCUUAUGGAGGAAGGUAUCACUACAUUAAGGGUCUGUCUAGAAUGUCAUAACUUAUGGGAAAUAUGUUUUGUGGUCAAGAAAUCUGAGCACUCUAUAAAUCGAAAAAUACGUUUGUUACCUCGGCGACUUUGGAAGAUACAAGCCCAGUUAGGGCUAGGAAUAAUAGUGUUUUCGCAGAUUCGAACCCAAGAAGCACUGCUUGAUUCUCUACCUGGAUGAAUAUCGAUUUAUCAAUAACACACGGGGUGCACCAGAUAGAGAUGUUGCUGUUACAUGCGCAAACUGUGUGAGUGAGGUUGCAGAGAAAUGGAGAAUUACCGUGAUGAUGUGAUACAUUGCAAGCAAAGGAAUGAGAGCAAUAUACAGAGGUACUGAUUCUUCAAAAAGCGUUUCUCAACUUUUCUUGACCGCAGUAGUUGUGCGAGAAUUUCGUAUUAUAUGAGACGCGUGGUACACAAGGAGCUUGAAUGGAGGAACAGAGUCAAGUAGUGCAUUGAGAGAUCUGGUCAUAAGCCAGGAUAAUCGAUCCUGUUCUUGUUUUUGUUCUUGUCGUUGUUUUGAGCCACAGAACUCCCAGCAGAUCACAAGAUGUUCAGAUUAUCUGAGGAUCCUGAAAGAAAUUCUUCCAUUCCAUCAACUGGACCAAAACUGAUUUGGCGUUCAUUAUCGGAUUCAUAAGAGAGAUGCCAAGACUGGCAACCGUAAGCUAGCAACCUUGUCCAAAUCCAAGAAAGCAGGUCUGUAAUUGGUAAAUUUCAUCUGUGACUGGUAAACCAAAAACUAGUGUACACAUAUAGUCUACCGCCAACUCCAGAUUGUUGCAACUGACAAUGAGCAGCAAUAGCGUACUAUCAGCAAGAUUCUUACAAGUUACACCGAGGUGCACAGAAAUUUAAAAAUGGUAACGCUCACUGAUUAAUGGACAUCUUUGAUAUGGCACGCAGUGUAUCAUAAUUAACAUGACCUAUUAUUAGAAGUAAAUGGGGGGCAGCGGGGGGCUCACGAAACCUUUUACUUUGAGCUGUAGGAUUGCGAGCUUCAUGAAGAUGGAACAUAUCAGGCGAGACACGGAAUUAUUCGACUUGUUUGGAUCCAAAGCGAAUGUUAUUACCUUGUGGUACAUGGGAGAAUAGUGGCAGAAAAUUCGGCGAGCGCUAUUAAAAUUUCGAACUUCAUUGGAGCCGGCUUUUGUUGGAUCGUAAUCGAGGUAAAAGGUCAAUGAUCGGUUGCAAUAUUUAUAUAAUGGAGUAUACUUUGCGGCGAGAGGAGGGGGAGGAGGGAGCAGCCAAGGUGAUAAUUCUUAGCUACAGCAAGCCAAUCACGUUAGUCGAAUGACCCUGGGUGCGGAUUUGGUGGAGUGUCUAUCGUAAGCGGACUCCUAACGUGUAGCGAGGUAACAGAUGAAUCGAUAUCGUUGCUCAGGACUCAUUUCGUGACCAUUAUCCUUCUAAGUAUUUUGUGAGGGCAGGGGGGAAAUCGGGAAGUCACUAUUAUCAUUUUGAGCUACAGGCAUGCCGAAAGCUGGUGUGGAUGUCGGGAGUUCCAGUACUUUGGUAGAUUGCCGAAUGCAUUUUUGACGAGGUAAUGUGAUAAAUUCUGGAUAAAACGUUCAUCCUCAAAGAAAUAGGAACGCCAGUCCAAAAAAGUGAAUGAAAAACGAUAUUGCCCAAAGUUUACAAACUGACAGAGUAUCAGGUAAAGAAACGUUUCCUACUUAACCGUCUGGAUGUCGGAAAACAUAGGUAAUACACCCAUACAACAUUAACGUAAUUUCUCACUCAGAACUUAUUAGUGAAAAUCAGUACAAAAGAAAUUUGGAUUGUCCACAACAAAGCUUGGCGAUGGGGGGGAGAGGGGAACAGCAAAAUAUUUGAUUUUUUUCUAGAAAGCCCAACCAGAUUACGGCCGAAUCUUCCUCCCACUGGCAUGAUGUGUUAACGCUUUGCGACUUGGCAUAAAUUCCCAUGAUAUGCAAAUGCCCAUACUCGCGUAAUAGUAGCAAGUCUAUAAUCCCCUAGGAUGUUGGUGAAGUGGAAUAAUAGUUGUGGUGAAGAUGGAUCGGUUAUGCGUCUAAAUUCGCAUGCAGUUUUGUGAGCAAGUCUUCCAAAAGCAAUGUGUCAAAGUAUGUCGCUGUGCGGAUUAUUGUUUCUGUUGAAUAUUUAAAUAGCACCAGGACUUGGCAAAGUAAAAAUUCUCACUCACCGGACGACUGUUCAAAAUCGUGGCGUAAUGUUUUGUGUAUAAUAUGAUGGUAUUGCUCCUGGCAACUAAUGCAACCUGCAGGAAUAAUGACGGGGUAUACAACACACAACUUGAUAUGUCACAACGCGACACCCAAUUUGCAAUGAUCCGCUGCUGUAAUGGACCUUAAAUAUGAUUGGAUUUCAAGCCGCAUAGAGUUUAGGCAGAGUGUUAGGUGAGUGACCUAAAAUGUAUAAAAUGUUCUGAUUGAUGAAAUAUCUAGGCUUUUGUGCUUCGUACAAGAUGCCUAGGUCCAGAACUUCAUAGCAUGGCACAAAAGUGCAUACCUACAUAAUUUAAAACAUUCGAAAAAUUACACUUGUUACCAUGCGAUUAUUUUAUAUCAUUACAUAUCACAUCAUGUAUAUUUGUAUCACUUCCAAAUGACAUGAAUAAAUCAUAACCGUUGGGUCAGGGGUGAGGGAGGAGUGGUUGAGAAUUAGAGAUUUAACUUUGUUCUCUGUAGGUCAGAUUCAUUUCAGAUGACAUAUUGACAUGGCAAUUGAAAGAACCAAAGCUAAAUGCUUACGAAUUGUUCAGAUGGAGUUAUGAAUUUAUAAUCAAUUAGCUAUUAGCAGCCCACAUCAAGGUAUUUCUAGAGAUUUGGAAAAUAUUUAAGCUGUUUGCAGUGAAUCGGCAAGGAACCUUCGAUCUAUCUAAAAGAAAGUAAUCAAAACUUGAUCACGUUUGUUGCUAAAAUAUGCCGCUCAAUGUGGAUUGGGGUGAUGUCUCACAGGAUACACGAAACCAAUUUGUUUUCACAAACAUCAUCUGUGGUAUUGUAAGAGGAUGUCACGUCGCAUCAGUCGCAUCAUCGCUGUAAUAUGCAUGCUUUAUUAAUUCAACAAUCUUUGUGUAUAAGCGCUCGCACUGGUUGGUAUAUUGCUUACUCUGAGUCUCCGUAGUAAAAACUAUACUGAAUCAACAGACCCUAUGUUAAGAUAAAUUGAACGAAAAAAUCUGGAAAGUUUUCCAUGUCUGAAAGGCCCCAUAUUCUCAAACGUAUGGUGAAUGAAGAAGAUAGGCCUAAGCAAUAUGAUGAGAAUUGACGAAUGAGUAUAAAUUUUGGAAAAUUCAGGUAAAAGUUCAUCUUAUUAUAACUAGAAAUUGUCUGACGCUUUAAACCGUAAGCUUGACUAUACUUGGAAGCAAUCAGCAAGACACGCGUUAAGCGGCAGGCAUCUCUCGUACUUCCCCAAAUAUGCUAAUUAAGUUUUCUAGAAUCUGUAUUUGGAAUAUGGAGACCUGAAUCCUUGACACUAGGCAUGAGUUGGUGGUUGUAGACAUCUCUCACUUUGUCAGAUAUAAAUGAGGGACGAAUUGGCAGGCUGAAUUGAAAGAUAGAUCCCCCGUCGACUUUGCAUCCGUUGAGCUCACCGAUUCGAUUUGUAAUCCUAUAAAUCUGCAUCACAUCUAUUCGCUAUGGUUUCAUUGCUUUACUGACUCGACAAGGCUGACUGGUUGUUCUGGCUUAUUAUAUCAAUAUGUUCCGGCGUACACAUAAUAUAGAAGAGAUGAACUAAACCCAGAAGAAAGAAGAAAAUGGAUGUAUGUACAUGCUGUUGAGCAACGAAGAUGACACCAUGAAAAGUGGAUGCUGCCAUGAGAAGAGGAUGCCAUCAUGAGAAGAGAUUACCGCUAUGUGAAGAAGAUGCUGCCAUAAGAAGUGGAUGCCACUAUAGGCAGAGGAUGCAGCCAUGUGAAGAUGAUGCCGCCAUGAGAAAAGAUUACUGCUAUGUAAAGAAGAUGCCGCCUUUGAGAAGAGAAUGUUGCCAUGGAAAGAUAAUACCGUGCAUGAGAAGUAGAUGCCGCUAUGGACAGAAGUUGCAGACAUGUCAAGAUGAUGCCACAUAUGAAGGAAAUGCCCCAUGCAAAGAGGAUGCCGCCAUAAGAAGAAGACGCCCAAUGGGAAGAGGAUACCGCUAUGCGAAGAGGAUGCCGUCGUGAGAAGGGGAUACUGCUAUGUGAAGAGGAUGACGCCACGAGAAGAGGAUGCCCCAUGAGAAGAGGAUACCGCUAUGUGAAGAGGAUGCCGUCGUGAGAAGAGGAUACCACCAUGUGAAGAGGAUACCACCAUGUGAAGAGGAAGCCGCCAUGAGAAGAGGAUGACGCCACGAGAAGAGGAUGCCGCUAUGUGAAGAGGAUGCUGCCGUCAGAAGAGGAUACUGCUAUGUGAAGCGGAUGCCACCAUGAGAAGAGGAUACUGCUAUGAGAAGAGGAUACCGCCAUGAGGAGGGAAUGCCACCAUGAGGAAGGAUGCUGCUAUGGUACAGGGACUUUGCCAUGAGAAGAGGAGCUAUGAGAAGAGGACGCCGCCAUGAGAAGAGGACGCCGCCAUGAGAAGAGGACGCCACCAUGAGAAGAGGAUACUGCUAUGAGAAGAGGAUACCGCCAUGAGGAGGGAAUGCCACCAUGAGGAAGGAUGCUGCCAUGGUACAGGGACUUUGCCAUGAGAAGAGGACGCCGCUAUGAAGAAGAGGACGCCGCCAUGAGAAGAGGACGCCGCCAUGAGAAGAGGAUACCGCCAUGAGGAGGGAAUGCCACCAUGGAAGAAGGAUGCCGCCAUGGUACAGGGACUUUGCUAUGAAGAAGAGGACGCCGCCAUGAGAAGAGGACGCCGCCAUGAGAAGAGGACGCAGCCAUAAGAAGAGAAUGCCCCCAUGGGAAGAGGACACUGUCAUGGAAAGAGCAUUUUGUGUGAACAGGAUGGAUUAAUCUGCCAAGAAAAGAGUGGGCUAUUGCAAGAAAAGGAUGUAUCGGAGGGCUUUGCUGAGAGAACAGGACGUUGUACAGAGAAGCAGAUCUGGACAUCAAAGUCACGGAAAUAUCGUCAGCAAAUAAUAUGCUAAAUGGAAAACGGAUCAAGUAUCAUACCUGCUAAUCGACAUGGUAAUUGAUUAAAUGAGAAAACGAACUCGAAUCUCAGCAGUAGCAGUGGGGUAAACUCAUGUUUUUAAUAAACGGAAAAUUCUCGGGUCAUCGUAGCAGAGUUCCAGCACAAACGCCUACUUUUGCCAAAAAAACAGAUCUUGUUCGAUCCAAGGUAAACUCAUAGUCUGUCUGCAGUUACCAAUCUUGAGGGGUAUCGGACUGCUAAGCUAAGUUGUUAUUAACCUUCGUUGGACUUGAGGGCUACCUACGAACAAUAUUCAUUGUAAUGUUAGUAGUUUACUAUUGAACUUCACAAUUUUGCUAUUGGAUCAUUCUCUUGUAUCGAAGUAUUGUUUGUCAACAAAUUUUUCAGAUAAUAAUUGAGUAAAAAUAUAAACUGAAUUACUUCAAUUAUCAUUGAGAAUGUUUUUUCGAUUAUGACAUACUUAUAUAUAUGUAUACAUGUAUAUUUGAAUACAAUAUACCUGAGUAAACCGCC
rnacentral:lncRNA from 1 species